rnacentral:rRNA from 1 species
UACGUAGGGGGCAAGCGUUGUCCGGAAUCAUUGGGCGUAAAGCGCGUGUAGGCGGUCCGGUAAGUCCGCUGUGAAAGUCGGGGGCUCAACCCUCGGAUGCCGGUGGAUACUGUCGGGCUUGAGUACGGAAGAGGCGAGUGGAAUUCCUGGUGUAGCGGUGAAAUGCGCAGAUAUCAGGAGGAACACCAAUUGCGAAGGCAGCUCGCUGGGACGUUACUGACGCUGAGACGCGAAAGCGUGGGGAGCAAACAGG